AGAGUUUGAUCAUGGCUCAGGAUGAACGCUGGCGGCGUGCUUAACACAUGCAAGUCGAACGAACCUUCGGGUUAGUGGCGGACGGGUGAGUAACGCGUGGGAAUCUGCCCUCAGGAGGGGGAUAACGGCUGGAAACGGCCGCUAAUACCCCAUAUGCCGCGAGGUGAAAUGAAUUUCGCCUGAGGAUGAGCCCGCGUCUGAUUAGCUAGUUGGUGGGGUAAAGGCCUACCAAGGCAUCGAUCAGUAGCUGGUCUGAGAGGAUGAUCAGCCACACUGGGACUGAGACACGGCCCAGACUCCUACGGGAGGCAGCAGUGGGGAAUUUUCCGCAAUGGGCGAAAGCCUGACGGAGCAACGCCGCGUGAGGGAUGAAGGCCUCUGGGCUGUAAACCUCUUUUAUCAAGGAAGAAGAUCUGACGGUACUUGAUGAAUAAGCCACGGCUAAUUCCGUGCCAGCAGCCGCGGUAAUACGGGAGUGGCAAGCGUUAUCCGGAAUUAUUGGGCGUAAAGCGUCCGCAGGCGGCCUUUCAAGUCUGCUGUUAAAACGUGGAGCUUAACUCCAUCAUGGCAGUGGAAACUGUUGGGCUUGAGUGUGGUANGGGCAGANGGAAUUCCCGGUGUA
rnacentral:rRNA from 1 species